CCUACGGGUGGCUGCAGUGGGGAAUAUUGGGCAAUGGGCGCAAGCCUGACCCAGCAACGCCGCGUGAAGGAAGAAGGCUUUCGGGUUGUAAACUUCUUUUCUCAGGGACGAAGCAAGUGACGGUAACUGAGGAAUAAGCCACGGCUAACUACGUGCCAGCAGCCGCGGUAAUACGUAGGUGGCAAGCGUUAUCCGGAUUUACUGGGUGGAAAGGGCGUGUAGGCGGGACUGCAAGUCAGAUGUGAAAACCACGGGCUCAACCUGUGGCCUGCAUUUGAAACUGUAGUUCUGGAGUACUGGAGAGGCUGACGGAAUUCCAAGUGUAGCGGUGAAAUCCGUAGAUAUUAGGAGGAACACCAGUGGCGAAGGCGAUCUGCUGGACAGCAACUGACGCUGAGGCGCGAAAGCGUGGGUAGCAAACAGGAUUAGAUACCACAGUAGUC
rnacentral:rRNA from 1 species